rnacentral:rRNA from 1 species
UACGGAGGGUGCGAGCGUUGCUCGGAAUCACUGGGCGUAAAGCGUACGCAGGCGGCGCGUUAAGUCGGGUGUGAAAGCCCGGGGCUCAACCCCGGAUGUGCAUUCGAUACUGGCGUGCUCGAGUUCGGGAGAGGGAAGCGGAAUUCCUGGUGUAGAGGUGAAAUUCGUAGAUAUUCGCAAGAACACCAGUGGCGAAGGCGGCAUCCUGGACCGGCAUUGACGCUGAGGCGCGAAAGCCAGGGGAGCAAACGGG